rnacentral:rRNA from 1 species
UACGUAGGGUGCAAGCGUUGUCCGGAAUUAUUGGGCGUAAAGAGCUCGUAGGCGGUUUGUUGCGUCGGCUGUGAAAUCCCGAGGCUCAACCUCGGGUCUGCAGUCGAUACGAGCAAACUAGAGUGUUGCAGGGGAGACUGGAAUUCCUGGUGUAGCGGUGAAAUGCGCAGAUAUCGGGAGGAACACCGGUGGCGAAGGCGGUUCUCUGGGCCUGACCUGACGCUGAGGAGCGAAAGCGUGGGGAGCGAACAGG